CACAUGAGGCUGUCCGCCGAGGCGGGCCGGGAGGGGCCGCAGCAGGCCCCGCGGGCACCCGCACGGCGCGACCCGGCCUGGCCCGGCCGCCUCCGGGGCAUGCCAGUUAUGACAAUUUGCAGCCCAAUAGCAUAGCAAGGAAACACAGACUUAUAUCUGCAAACUGGACUUUGGCUGUCACUGGGGAAGCAUCUUCAUCACCAAAACUGAGAAGGACAAAACCUGGGCAGGACAGGAUCUGCCAGGUCUACAUCUCAAGGAUAAUGUUUGCUUGCAUCUGACAAAUUAUUCCAUUAACAAGAACAGUGUUAAUUCUGCUAAAGAAGAAGACACUGGUGGAUCUCCUGCAGAGUUCCCAGAGAAGAAUGGCUCAUGGGUGACCGGCAGGGGGGGAUAGACUACACUGAAUCAGUGUGAAAACAGCUUGAAUUGUGCUCCAGGACACAUGCAUAGAACAUUUCUUGCCUGCAGGAGUCCUCACCGUUGUGGACAGCUUCACUCAAGUUCUUUGCAUACAGAAGUAUUUCAGAGUUAGCCAUUACCCAAUGUGGAAUUUACCUGCUAAUGGAGGGUGUAGCCUGUGGUUCUCAGACGACAGUAAGUUAAUACCAGUUCCUCCUCUUCUACACCUAGCAAAUACUAGAUUGGCAUCAACUCUACAUUCAAUCUCAGGCCAUAAUUUCAAACUGAGUGUGUCACUUGGUAGUUCCCACUUUGCCAUAUAUAAAACAAACAAACAAACAAAACCAGAUAGUUUCACUGCUUUUUUUUUGUUGUUGAUUUGAGGAAUGUAAAGAACAUGCUGGAUAAGAAGGCAUCUUUUUCAGCUCGAGUGACUUGUUCAAAAGUCCUUGGUGAAACCAACAGAAAAACUACAGUUUUCCUGUUACCUCAGACCUGUAGACACAGGGACAGACAAGCAUAGUACAUCCCCCAACGUGGCUCCACGCAACUGUCACCUAUAAAAUAUCUAACUUUAUAAUACAAUAUACCUACCGUGUUCUUGGUAAACUUCAAACCACAUAUGAAUUUAAUUUAUAUGCUGUUUGAGACAGGCACAUGAGGAAGUCAGAUUAGCAAGUGAAAAACACUCAGAGGACUAUAUUCACAGUGUUUUGUUUUGUUGUGUUUUGUUUUGUUUUUCCUUGUCCUCUAAAACAUUAAUCUCCUUAUGAAAAUGCUAAAUGGCUUGUGACAGCAGCAUACUAGUUAUUUGAUGCAAAAAAUGGUGUUGUGUGCGCUAAGUUACAAACAGUGGAAGCCGCAAAUAAAUUUGAAGACAAAAAAAAGAGGAGAAGGAGAAACUAUGUGGUAAUAUCUAUCUGGCCAAGAACUAUCACCUUCCAGAAGUAUUCUUCAAAUAAUAGGCACUAGCCAUCCAGGAGUGAAAUGCAUUCAGUGAAGACUGGUACAUUUCAGUGGUCCUGAUCUCUUGUUAGGUUUGACUUCAGACUGUAGGAGCAAUGUGAGUUAGCAGGUGAUUUUUCUUCCUCUGGUUCAGUAUUGUAUCCUUAGUAGACUAUUUACAGAUGCUAAGGCAAACUGUCAAAAGAGCAAACGAUU